AUUGAACGCUGGCGGCAGGCCUAACACAUGCAAGUCGAGCGGAGCGGCGGACGUGUGCGUAAUGCCUAGGAAUCUGCCUGGUAGUGGGGGAUAACGUCCGGAAACGGGCGCUAAUACCGCAUACUAUCAUCUGAGCCUAGGUCGGAUUGGCUAGUUGGUGGGGUAAAGGCCUACCAAGGCGACGAUCAUUACCUGGUCUGAGAGGAUGAUCAGUCAAACUGGAACUGAGACACGGCCCAGACUCCUACGGGAGGCAGCAGUGGGGAAUAUUGGAUAAUGGGCGAAAGGCUGGUCCAGCCAUGCCGCGUGUGUGAAGAAGGUCUUCGGAUUGUAAAGCACUGUAAGUAGGGAGGCGUUACCAACAGAAUAAGCAACGGCUAACUUCGUGCCAGCAGCCGCGGUAAUUC
rnacentral:rRNA from 1 species